GACGAACGCUGGCGGCGUGCUUAACACAUGCAAGUCGAACGGAAAGGCCCUGCUUUUGUGGGGUGCUCGAGUGGCGAACGGGUGAGUAACACGUGAGUAACCUGCCCUUGACUUUGGGAUAACUUCAGGAAACUGGGGCUAAUACCGGAUAGGAGCUCCUGCUGCAUGGUGGGGGUUGGAAAGUUUCGGCGGUUGGGGAUGGACUCGCGGCUUAUCAGCUUGUUGGUGGGGUAGUGGCUUACCAAGGCUUUGACGGGUAGCCGGCCUGAGAGGGUGACCGGCCACAUGGGGACUGAGAUACGGCCCAGACUCCUACGGGAGGCAGCAGUGGGGAAUAUUGCACAAUGGGCGGAAGCCUGAUGCAGCAACGCCGCGUGCGGGAUGAAGGCCUUCGGGUUGUAAACCGCUUUCGCCUGUGACGAAGCGUGAGUGACGGUAAUGGGUAAAGAAGCACCGGCUAACUACGUG
rnacentral:rRNA from 1 species